UACGGAGGGUGCAAGCGUUAUCCGGAUUCACUGGGUUUAAAGGGUGCGUAGGUGGGCUAGUAAGUCCGUGGUGAAAUCUCCAAGCUUAACUUGGAAACUGCCGUGGAUACUAUCUAUCUUGAAUGUCGUGGAGGUUAGCGGAAUAUGUCAUGUAGCGGUGAAAUGCUUAGAGAUGACAUAGAACACCCAUUGCGAAGGCAGCUAACUACGCGAUAAUUGACGCUGAUGCACGAAAGCGUGGGGAUCAAACAGGA
rnacentral:rRNA from 1 species